rnacentral:lncRNA from 1 species
AUCUAAGGGUUCAUAUUCAUGCUCCCACCUCUCUUUUCUUUUUUAACUCACAUCUCCAAACUCUAAAAGACCACUCUCCACUCUAUAAAUAAGACCUCAAGGCCUCCUUUAAGGAUCCAUCAACCUUCUCUAUGCCAAUAAGCCUUCCCCAUGUCUAAAUCCCCAUAGCCUUAGGUUCCAUGCCAUAGCCCUUCUUCGUGCCAACUCUAUCUUCCUAGAUUUUUAGCUAGUAAUAGGUACAAUCUUUUUUUCUUAAACCCAUCAUCCCAAACCUCCAU